rnacentral:rRNA from 1 species
AGAGGAUGAGCAGCCACACUGGGACUGAGACACGGCCCAGACUCCUACGGGAGGCAGCAGUGGGGAAUUUUCCGCAAUGGGCGAAAGCCUGACGGAGCAAUACCGCGUGAGGGAGGAAGGCCUUUGGGUUGUAAACCUCUUUUCUCAGGGAAGAAGAUCUGACGGUACCUGAGGAAUAAGCAUCGGCUAACUCCGUGCCAGCAGCCGCGGUAAUACGGAGGAUGCAAGCGUUAUCCGGAAUUAUUGGGCGUAAAGCGUCCGCAGGUGGUUUUUCAAGUCUGCUGUCAAAGACCAGAGCUCAACUCUGGGCCGGCAGUGGAAACUGGGAAACUAGAGUUCGGUAGGGGUAGCGGGAAUUCCCAGUGUAGCGGUGAAAUGCGUAGAUAUUGGGAAGAACAUCGGUGGCGAAGGCGCGCUACUGGACCGAAACUGACACUCAGGGACGAAAGCUAGGGGAGCGAAAGGGAUUAGAUACCCCUGUAGUCCUAGCUGUAAACGAUGGAAACUAGGUGUGGCUUGUAUCGACCCGAGCCGUGCCGUAGCUAACGCGUUAAGUUUCCCGCCUGGGGAGUACGCACGCAAGUGUGAAACUCAAAGGAAUUGACGGGGGCCCGCACAAGCGGUGGAGUAUGUGGUUUAAUUCGAUGCAACGCGAAGAACCUUACCUGGGUUUGACAUCUCGGGGAUUUUUUGGAAACAAGAAAGUGCCCUUCGGGGAGCCCGAAGACAGGUGCUGCAUGGCUGUCGUCAGCUCGUGUCGUGAGAUGUUGGGUUAAGUCCCGCAACGAGCGCAACCCUUAUCUUUAGUUACCAUCACUUCGGGUGGGGACUCUAAAGAUACUGCCCCGGUCAACGGGGAGGAAGGUGGGGAUGACGUCAAGUCCUCAUGGCCUUUAUGCCCAGGGCUACACACGUGCUACAAUGGGCGAUACAAAGGGUAGCGAGCCUGCGAAGGUGAGCCAAUCCCAAAAAGUCGUUCUUAGUUCGGAUUGGAGUCUGCAACUCGACUCCAUGAAGCUGGAAUCGCUAGUAAUCGCGGAUCAGCACGCCGCGGUGAAUACGUUCCCGGGCCUUGUACACACCGCCCGUCACACCAUGAGAGUUGGUUGUACCAGAAGUUGUUGGGCUAACCCGCAAGGGAGGCAGGCACCUAAGGUAUGGCUGAUGAUUGGGGUGAAGUCGGAACAAGGUAGCCGUUGGGGAACCAGCGGCUG